UUUCUAUUUUUUGUAGAGAUGGGGCCUCACUCUUGCUCAGGCAGGUCUCAAACUCCUGAUUUCAAGCGAUGCUCUCGCCUGGGUCUCUUAAAAUGCUACAAUUACUGUUGUGAGCUACCACGAAGGCCAGGAGAUUUAUUUAUUUUUUUAAAGAAUUAAAAUCUGCCAAAGAAUAAAGCUAAGGGAAUUACAUUGAAUUUGAGGAAAAGCAUACAAAUAUGAAAGUUAAACUUCAAAGGACACACUCCAGACUUCUUUGUUAAAUGAGUGGGAUCAUGAGAGUACUGAGUUCAGACAGCUUAAAGGAGCCAAGGACCUUGGGAGAGGAAGGAAAGGAGGGACUGGGAAAGUGGGGAGUAUGGAGAGGGAAAUGAAGAAUUCCAGGUGGGAUUAACCCAGGAGGGUUAAUCAGAAUGGGCAACUUUUAUUUUGUUACAUAAAGAUAGAAAAUCCUAAAUUUUAUUUGUUUUCUACUGCUAAAGUUAAAAAUCUAAAUCUAUUAAGUGACUUUUUAAUGUCUGAAUUUUACCAGCAGCCCUUUGUAGAGUGAAAUUGGGAGGAAAAAAGAAAAGGAUAAUCUAAAAUUAGAUGUUUUCUGAACAAUAAACUAAUAAUCUGAUUGGCUGAAAUAUGCAAAGGAAACCAAACUCCUUUGUGCUGCUUCAUUCAUUCAUUCUUCAUUCAUUGUGUUGAAUCUUCAAAUUGUCUAACACUUGACACCUUCUCCUGCCACAGCUCUGCAAAAGCCACUGAUUUGAGCAAUAGGCCUUACCAUGGCCAAGACCUGCAAAACAGGUCUAACGGAUAUGCUUUUGCUUACCAUCUGGUGGCCAGCUGAAAGAACCGGAAGGGAAACAUGCCUCUGUUUUUUUCUCAGUUUCUGCUGCGUUCAAGAUAAGCCUCCCUGCUCAUUCUGUUUUAACACUUUUCUGAUAUGAUAUUUCAGAAGAAAAUAUUAUGGAGAUAUAUCAAUGAUCGGCACCAUUUUGGAAUUCUGGUCCCAAAACUUCUAAAGAAUACAGUAAAAAGAAAUAACCUGCUCUGCAUAAAGUGAUUAUGAAGAUACGUGUUGAGUGCAACAUGGCGCAGCAGCCUCAUCAAAAAGGUCUGAUUUCAAAGAUGUUCCUGAAACCUCACCUACAGCAGCACUCUCGGUGUCC